rnacentral:lncRNA from 1 species
CCACAGGUAGUGGUUUGGAUGCUAUCCUGCUCUGGUUUGUGUUUUUACAGGCUCAAUUUGGUGGUUGUGUGAAGACUUUUAUGCUAGAGGAGCAGUCAAGAAAGAGGAGGAAGAGUGAAGGGCUGCUUCCAGGUGGAGAUGGGCUUAUCAGGAAGCAGCCUCAUCGUAAGUCGAAGAGCAUCUGUGAAUUCCUAGAGAGAACACCUCUUCGGGUUUUUCCAUGUCCACAAACCGCCCAGUCCAGGGAUAUAUGCAGAACAGCAAAUAAGGACCACUAUCUUAAAUGAGAUUGGCAAAAACCCCUGAUGAACACAGAAGGUUGACAAGUCACCAGGCAACAUAUAUCAAAAGAUCCGAACAACAAAUUGCAAAGUUCUGGCUACCUAUCUGUCUUUUUACCCGUUAUUAUAGAGACCUCUGUAUUCUAAUCCUCUCUCAUUGCCCAGGUCCAUGAAAAAACUCAUUCUAGAAGGGGUAAUGGUAUUCAUAUUUAUUAAAGGAGCCCAUACUAUCUUACUAGAGCCAUACCAGUAUGGUAUGGCUCAGCCACCUGUUUAUAACCUUGAUUGGUUCUGACUGACGGAUGCCUGAUGUUAAACAUUUUGAAUAUUACUCCUUUAUCUCAGAGCUCACAUGGAACCAUAAUAUAGCCAUGGCAUAGCAGCUCUGAGACUCAUCUGUGAAGGAUAAUUAUUGUACUAUCUCUGUUGUGCUUUCAAUAGCAGCUGUCCCGGUUACAAACUUGCUCUGAUCCACAAGAGUGGACUCUUGGAAAUUUCUUUAUGCGGUGACUUUUGCUCCAUCCCUACUCCAACCACAUUGAUUUGUCAAGGGGUGAGAACUGGUCAGAGUCUCUUCUCCAGGAACUAGGAUGAGGCCAAGGAGAUAGUCAGUUUCACUGUUUAUGCUUUUCCCUGUCACUCUCUGUCUCCAUCUCUUAUUCUGUUUCUCUCUCUCUCUCUCUUUACAAUGGAAAAUCUUGGGAAUCAUCAGCAACCCUAUUGUAUGAUUUAAAAUUUGGGAAACUGAACAAGGCAGCCUGCAGUAAGGAAACAAAAAAUCAGAGACUGUUAAGUUACAUAUAAUUUAACUUCAAAUUCCUUUGAACCAGGUGAAGUCACCAAUAUUUGACCAGUUAACAAUGAUGAUUAAUAAAAUGGGCACACAUUCUAUUUCUAG